AUAUGGUUGAAAUUAAACAACAAAAAUAAUUUUCUGAAGAAAUAAUGUAAUGUUGUACCUCAUCUCAUCCUGUCCAUUCGACCGCACAGCACAACUAUGGCGCUUGCUCUCAAAUCCCUUACGCUCUCCUCACUCUGCACUUCUCCAUCCACGACUUCACCCGCUCUCAUCUUUCGGCCAUUUCAUUAUUCACAAUCUGUAAAGCUAAAUAACAAACCUUACUCAAUCUACACCGUCGAUUCCAAGUCCUUUCGUCUCUUUUAUCGUUUAUCCGAUUAUUCUGAAAAUGAUGAUGAAAAUUCAAACUCCAGCUUCGAUGAAGCAGUUGCACUUUUCAACAAGAGAGCUUACUACGAAUGUCAUGACACUCUUGAAGCUCUCUGGUACAGUGCCGAAGAACCAACUAGAACUCUCCUUCAUGGUAUUCUUCAAUGCGCUGUGGGAUUUUAUCAUUUAUUUAACCGGAAUCAUAAAGGAGCAAUGAUGGAGUUGGGAGAGGGACUGGGUAAGCUCCGUAAAAUGAAACUUUCGAGUGGACCAUUUCAUGAGUUCGAGCUCGAGAUUUCUGCAACUUUGGAUUUUAUUUAUCAAACUCAAAUUGAAUUGGCUGCCUGCAUUGAUGAUCUCUGUCUAGCAAUGGAUCAAUCAGAAAGAUCAUAUCAACUUCUUGGGGACUAUGGUGCUGGCCAAUAUUUGUAUCAUCUUGAGAGUGAUGAGAAUGAAAUUAUGCAUAUUGUCUUCCACCCUCCAAGAGCUUAUGCCUCUCAAAACUCUUUAAAGGAAAAACUUACUAGUGUAAAAACUAGCAAAGUCAGUUAAAAAGUAAGGCUUACAUUCAAACAAAUUUGGGGUAGCCGUCCACCCAAAUAGAUUGCUGCCAUUGCCCAACCAAGAGAUGGCGCAGAGUGCGUAGAAACUUGUCCACCAAGCAAGGGCUCCUUAAUGGUAAUCCCAGAAUGAUGAGAGGUGGGACUCAUUCUUUGUACUAAGAAAGACCCUGCUGUUGGUGUAUGACUCCUUGACAGAGAUCUGGCAGACCUGGUGAAUUUACAAAGAAAAUAUAUCAAGUUAUUAUCACAAACAUCAUUGACCAUUAUGGAAUGAAAUUCUUAGUGCUGUACAUCAAUUUCCUUUUUGCUGGAAUCCAUUCAAUAGAAGCAUAAACCACAGUUUCUAUUCAAA